GAGUUUGCUCCGUGCAUUCAAGUGGCGGACGGGUGAGUAAUGCCUAGGAAUCUGCCUGGUAGCGGGGGAUAACUUUUCGAAAGGAACGCUAAUACCGCAUACGCCCUACGGGGGAAAGUGGGGGAUCUUCGGACCUCGCGCUAUUGGAUGAGCCUAUGUCGGAUUAGCUAGUUGGUGGGGUAACGGCCCACCAAGGCGACGAUCCGUAACUGGUUUGAGAGGAUGACCAGCCACACUGGAACUGAGACACGGCCCAGACUCCUACGGGAGGCAGCAGUGGGGAAUUUUGGACAAUGGGGGAAACCCUGAUCCAGCCAUGCCGCGUGUGCGAUGAAGGUCUUCGGAUUGUAAAGCACUUUUGGCUGGAAGGAAGGGGCGCUGGUUAAUACCUGGCUGAUCUGACGGUACCUGCAGAAUAAGCACCGGCUAACUACGUGCCAGCAGCCGCGGUAAUACGAAGGGUGCAAGCGUUAAUCGGAAUUACUGGGCGUAAAGCGUGCGCAGGCGGUUCGGAAAGAAGGAUGUGAAAUCCCCGGGCUUAACCUGGGAACUGCAUUUUUAACUACCGAGCUAGAGUGUGGCAGAGGGAGGUGGAAUUCCGCGUGUAGCAGUGAAAUGCGUAGAUAUGCGGAGGAACACCGAUGGCGAAGGCAACCUCCUGGGAUGACACUGACGCUCAUGCAC
rnacentral:rRNA from 1 species